CCUACAAGGUGCACGUCGCUCCGGAACAUCCGCGACAACGAGGAGAAGGACUCGGCCUUCCGGGGGAUCUGUGUCAUGAUCGGGGUGAACCCUGGGGGGGUUGUGCAGGAUUUCAUCUUCUUCUGCGACGCCGUCGCGUCCUGGGUGAGCCCCAAGGACGACCUGAGGGACAUGUUUUACAAGAUCCUGCACGGCUUCAAGGCCCAGGUGGGCGAGGAGAACUGGCAGCAGUUUUCGGAGCAGUUCCCCCCCCUCCUCAAGGAGCGACUGGCGGCGUUUUACGGGGUCUGAGCCAGGGGGAGACCCCUCAAAAAGGUGCGGGGGGGGGCUCCAACAUCCCCAAAAAUGGGGGGGGGGGCACAGCCAGACCUCCCCCCUUCAAUCUCUGCUCUCCC